GCAUCUUUUCUCACUGUCUAAAGUAUAAAUACACUUGUGAACUUAUAAAGUUCAGAGUUCCUUUGAGAACCCUCCUUGUGAUCACUUGUAUAGCUCUAAAUAAACUAAGAUGGCUGUGUCAAUUCUGAUACAACCACAACGUGAAGUUUGAUUUCUUCCACAAUUUGGUGCCGUGACUCAGAUAGGGACGCCCGGAGUGAUCGGUUGAGAUACAGACCAUCUCUUCACUGAUGCCCCGGUGCCAAACUAAGGAUAUGCGGUAUGUUCGCAAUAUGAUGUUACAAAAAGCCAUCACUUGCCUAAUGUGUAUUCAGCUCAAGUUGCCGAGCUUGUGGACCUUACCAGGGCUUGCACCCUAGCCUCUGGUACCUCUGUUUAAUAUUUACACUGAUUCUCACUACACCUUUGGUAUUGUACACUAUUAUGGUCAACUUUAGAAGCAAAGAGUCUUCCUCACAUCAGGAGGUGCCAAAAUUAGUAAUGGUCCAUAUGUGAAUGCCUUGUUAAAUGCUUUAGAGUUACCUUCUGCUGUUGCUAUUAUGAAAUGCUAAGCUCACCAGAAACCUUGUGAUGUUACACAUGGGAAUGCUCUGGCAGACUCCUCUGCCAAAGCUGCGGCUAUUUCCACUCCUCAGGCUACACCUGUGUUUUUUCUCUAUCUCGACUAACCAGUCUCCAUUGGCAAGUCUUCACGACAUUGCCCUCCUCCAAGAUCAGGCUUCAGAACCAGAAAAAUAUAUGUGGAAACUGGCUGGGUGUUUGUUACACCCUGACCAUUUGUGGCACUUCCCGGACAGCCACCUGAUUGCCCCAACGGUCCUUCUUCCCUAUCUUGCUCACAUACACCACGGCAUAGCACACGUGAGCAAAGGGGGGAUGAUAGAAGCUGUUAAGCUUGAUUGGUUUGCUCCAACUUUUCCAUCUGUGGCUCAACAAUAUUGUUAUACCUGCCCUAUUUGUCAAGCCCAUAAUGUGGGAAAGCCUGUGAAACAGCCUCACCACCUCUUGCCUCCCACUUUUGUGAUAUACAUUUACUUGAUGAUACUAUUUUAGACUACUGUAUGGCGCUAAUGAAGUGUGUUAAGGCUUUUCAUUCACAGGUACAAGCAGCUCUCCCCAAGAAACCAGAUGAGCCAUGGCAUUCCAUCCUGCCUGGUGACUGGGUCCAUGUAAAAGUCCAUCAAUGGAAGUCAUCACUGGAACCCCGCUGGAAAGGCUCAUUCCAGGUACUCCUGACAACCAACACUGCAAUAAAGUGUCAAGGACUCCAAACGUGGAUCCACACUUCAAACAGUAAGAAAACAUCACCCCUGUUAGACCCAUAGUCUCCUCCACAUCAACCUUGUAAUCAGCCUCCACAGACUGGUAGUGAGCCUAGCGCCUGCCAAAAGGAGAGCUCAAGACCACUGGUAAGACAAGUGCCUACUGGCGAAGAGGAUUGGCCACUACAGAGUGAAGAAAAUGUACCCCAACGACACCGUUAUGCCCUUCAGGAAAGGAAAAAAGGCUUCUACCUAGUUCCUCAUUCCCGAGGUGGGGUUGGUUAGUCGUAACUUGGGUACUUCUCAGUCUUUCCUUUUGGAUCAUCUUAUAUGAACUUAAAGAUUCACCAGCUAAAAGAAACUUUGUAAAUCAGACUAGACUUCAAAACAAGUAAAAAAGAUCACUCCCACACUGCCAUGCUCACCAAAACACUUUUUUUCAAGUGUCUUAUCAAUAUGCAAAGGAUUUAAAUGUUUCUAAAAGUUGGGUAUGUUCCCACUUGCCUCCUAGUACAAGGUCAGGGGUGCCCAUGAUUGCUUUAUCCCUUAAUUGGACCAACUUUUGUGAUAUGUAUGUUAAAAUAGCGGAAGGUAAAGAGAGAGAAAAAUUAGAAGUUAAAAGGCUCAUGGCUAUAAAUAUAUAACAGGUUGGGCCAAAAAACGGCCCAAAAGCUGGGAAUGUAGAAAUAAGUUUAACCAGGUCUCUUACUUGACUAAGAGGAGAGACAAAGAGAGAGAAAGAGAAGAGAAAAAGUUGCUGAUGCUAUGUGUUUUAACAUGUUCUAGGAUAAGGAAAAACCUUCAUGCCUUGUUUUGUCUUAAUAUAUUAAUCUCUGCGUGCAGAUGUUAACUUCCCCCUUUCUGGGAACCAGAAACUGAUAGCUGUUCCCAAAACACAAUGUGUUUGCUAAAUAAUUAAACUGCCUAUGUGUGACAAACGAAUGAUCAACUUCUUCCUGUUUCUUCAAGGUUGCGCUGUCUGAACCAUGCAUCUUUUCUCACUGUCUAAAGUAUAAAUAUGCUUGUAAACUUAUACAGUUCAGAGUUCCUUUAAGAACCCUCCUCGUGAUCACUUGUAUAGCUCUAAAUAAACCAAGAUGGCUCUGUUAAUUCUGAUACAA